rnacentral:misc_RNA from 1 species
AAGUCGUAACAAGGUUUCCGUAGGUGAACCUGCGGAAGGAUCAUUAUCACGUAUCCACGUAUAAACCAUAUUGAAUCGUUUCCCUUUGGGACAGAGCGAAAAGCAAUUAUGAAGGACUGUGGCCUUCGCGCCCCCCUUAACAAAGGCUCUAAUUUAUUCGAAUUAAAAACAAUUCUUAACAACGGAUAUCUUGGUUCCC